rnacentral:rRNA from 1 species
CGAGCGCAGGAAACCAGAUGACCCCUUCGGGGUGAUUCUGGUGGAAUGAGCGGCGGACGGGUGAGUAACACGUGGGCAACCUGCCUGUAAGACUGGGAUAACUUCGGGAAACCGGAGCUAAUACCGGAUAGUAUUUCCUUUCUCCUGAUUGGAAAUGGAAAGACGGUUUCGGCUGUCACUUACAGAUGGGCCCGCGGUGCAUUAGCUAGUUGGUGGGGUAAUGGCCCACCAAGGCGACGAUGCAUAGCCGACCUGAGAGGGUGAUCGGCCACACUGGGACUGAGACACGGCCCAGACUCCUACGGGAGGCAGCAGUAGGGAAUCUUCCGCAAUGGACGAAAGUCUGACGGAGCAACGCCGCGUGAGCGAUGAAGGCCUUCGGGUCGUAAAGCUCUGUUGUUAGGGAAGAACAAGUACGAGAGUAACUGCUCGUACCUUGACGGUACCUAACCAGAAAGCCCCGGCUAACUACGUGCCAGCAGCCGCGGUAAUACGUAGGGGGCAAGCGUUGUCCGGAAUUAUUGGGCGUAAAGGGCUCGUAGGCGGUUUCUUAAGUCUGAUGUGAAAGCCCACAGCUCAACUGUGGAGGGUCAUUGGAAACUGGGGAACUUGAGUGCAGAAGAGGAGAGUGGAAUUCCACGUGUAGCGGUGAAAUGCGUAGAUAUGUGGAGGAACACCAGUGGCGAAGGCGACUCUCUGGUCUGUAACUGACGCUGAGGAGCGAAAGCGUGGGGAGCAAACAGGAUUAGAUACCCUGGUAGUCCACGCCG